CAGCAGUGGAUAGGAACGUAGUGACCAGUAAAAAAAAUACAAAUAAAUGUCUGGGAGGUGAAAGCUAUCCAUUCCUCUCAUAAAUUAGGCAGGUGUCUCCUUCAGUCCGAAGGAAGCUGUUGCUAUAAAAGCCUACCAAAACCUAGAAAUACUACUCGCACCAUAGAAGCCAGCGUGAGCACAGAGCUGCGCAGAUCAAGGAGGUGGGAUGCAGAGGAAGAACAACAAAAGAGAAGGCAAGACUGCGUCCAUCAACUAUUUUAUUUAAUCAUCUCUAACUAAAUUCGCUUACCUGUAUUAUAUAUUGGGAUGAUGAUACUAACAAUCUAA